CUCCUUUCCCUCCUCCUCCCUGAGUAGAGUGAGCACCGUGGACAGAGCUCAGAUGAAAACCCAGGGAGUGAAACUCAUCGUGGCCCCCCGGGGUCCCUCAGAAACUCCACCUGGGCCUUCAACACUGCAUAGACUUGGAGAGCCAGCCAAAGUAUCAGAGGAAACAAAACAAAUGGGAGCUGGCCCAGACGUGAAGAGCGCCUACUGCUCUUCAGAGGAUCCACAUUCGCAAAAACCUUAAGGUACCAAUUCCAGGGGAUCUGAUGACCUCUACUGAUGUCCAUAGGCACCAGUCACCCAUGUGAUGAACAGAGUGAAAAUCCUGGGGAACAUUCAAGCUGCAUGCAAACUGCAACACAGAACAGUUGUGUUCCUGUGGACCACUGAAGAACAGUUUGAGUAAAAUUUAACCAAGGAGGGGCUUGGGAACAGGAACCUGGUGAGGUGCUGCACAGCAUGUUAGAUUCACCCUGGCCAAGGUUCAGAGGUUCAGUCCAGUAUCAUCAAUGUGGGAACAUGGCAGCAUCCAGGCAGGAGGAGAUGAGAGUUCUGCAUCUUCAUCUGAAGGCUGCUCGCAGAAUACUGGCUCCCAGGCAUCUAGGACGUCAACAAGGGUCUUAAAACCCACACCCACAGUGACACACCUACUCCAACAAGGCCACACCUUCUAAUAGUGCUACUCCCUGGGCUGAACCAACAACCAUCACAGGUUCUGUGUUGAUGUCUUUGGCUCAUGUACCACCAAAGGCCAUGCAGAUGUCCCUGAUCUGGGCUGCUGCCUGAUACCACAUUGAUGUCUGAGCCUUGUACUGAGCUGGCCACACCCUUUUCCUAGGCAGCACGUGAGAGCUGGCUGUGGUGGCGUGGGUUCAGGAGAGCUGUCUCUGCCUCUCACCAGCUGCAGCACUCCAGAGAGCUGGCUCAGCCACUUGUCUACUAUGUGGUGGUGUGGGUGAGGAAGAGAUGCCCUCUCCCCCUCUCACCCCUCACCCCUCACUGCCUGAAGCAGGCAGGAGAGCUGUUCCUGGUCCUCACCAGCUGCAGCACUUGAGAGAGCCGACCCUGCAGCUCUCCUGGGCACACAGAAGAACUGGCCCUGGUGGCAGGAACUCAUGUGAGCUGGCUCCGAGGAUAUGAGAGAAGGAGAUCCGGAGCUCACCCUGGUGAUAUGGGUGCAGGAGACCUGGAAGGCUGACUACCCAGGCCCAGAUCCGGGGCUUUGAGUUGGCCCAUCCCAACCCAGCAUCUAUCCCAUCUAUGAACUGAUACAAUGCAUGAAGGGGCCAUUUCUGCAGACCCAAAGGUGUAGGAUCUCCAUGACACAGGGCAACACGGAAUAUCCAAGAAGACUUCCAGUGAGGAUCCAGUAUUGAUAGCAUAGCAGAAGCCAGAGGCCUUGAACCAGACAAAUGACUCAUUGCAAUGAACAUUUGCAAAUAAAGAUGUGUGGACAAAAGGGUGUGCUGUAUGACACACUGUGACACACUGCAGCUUCCAUGACAAGAUUAUGUUUUAAUUAUUUUCUUUGUUGGGGGUGGGGUUGCAAAGGUGGAGGGCAGAUACAGAGGGACAGGGAGUGAGUGGGAUUGGAGUGCAUGGUGUGAAAUUCACAAAGAAUCAGUAAAAAGUUUUGUUGGGUUUUUUUUUUAAAGCAUCCCAGUACGUUUGCCAUGAAAGUCGCUAACACAGAGAAAAUAUUCCUCUUAUGAGAGAUGCUUUAAAUACAACUGCUAAGGCAGCAGUGAGCAUGUUUGCAUAUGCUAAGCAAGCAUGGCCUUUCUCUUUCCCUGCUUCUCUAGGAAUUUCCCAAGGAGCCUCAUUUACAGUAAAUGCCUGUCCUAGCCCCUUUGUGCAAUUCAUGCAGUGUAUGGUUUUACCUUGUCAGAUAGCAGUCCUAAGGAAGGCACCUCAAGGGCCAUCUUAUAAUCACACUUACUGAAAAGGGUGAAAAAGAGAUUAAAAAAAUAAAAUGAAAAUUCUAACUAAUCCCUUGAGAUGUGCUUCAAAAAAACUACCAAAAUCAUAUGCUUGGCUACUGUAUAAAGACACACAGGCUAGUCUCUUAAGGAGUCUACACCCAUACUUGGGUGUGCCUUGAUAUUUUUUCUGAAUACUCUAGUUCUAUUAAAACUUUUGCUUGAAUUUAUAUUAAAAUAGCUUCCUAACUCUGCUGA